GUCAGUGGUAGCUCACUGGUUAAGACAUCGGACUACUGAUCGGAAGGUCGUGAGUUCAAAAUCCCAUCAAUGCCA